GGCCGCCCUGCCCGGACCGCGACCUGGAGGGCAGGUGCGGGGAGGGGGGGGGGGCACCCGGGCACCCCUGGGCGUCACCAGCCCCGAGUUCUAAUUCGUCCCGAGACCAUCGGCUGCCUCAGCCCUUCCCGGUUCUAAAAACGCCGUCAACGCUUGCAAAGUUCCAGCAGUGAAAAUGCUUAGGAUCAUAGAAGCCCACCUGCUACUGACAAACCAGAAAGACCAUCUCAUCCUAAAGUCUGACACAACAGCUCCUUCUAGAAUCUGUAGCAUCAACAGAGGCCCUUACCACCCUCAGGGCGGCCCUGCCCUCCAGCUGCUGAUGAUGAAGAAAGGGAGGGCGAGGCCGUCAGGACAGACUGAGGUUCUGUGCCGCCUGACCUUGGAGUCAAGCUCCCCCUAGGAACAGCUCUCUGCGGGGGGCAGCGGCUUCACUGCAGGGGGAGUCAACCCAGAAAAUGAGAAAUUUUGUAAACGGCCUCCGGGCAGAAGCCCUUCCAGCCACGGAUGUGACGUGGGCCGUGACGGAAACGAGGAGGGCCUACUCCCCUAAAGAGGAUUCCAUAAAGCCUCGUCAUAAGCUCUUCUUCUGUUGGAUUUAUCAUUGGAUUUCCUGAAGUCCCUAAAAAGAUACUCCGAGGAGAGGUGACAUUCAUCUGACAUUCAUCAGCUGUGUGCCAAGAACUUUCUGGGCCCCACAGUAGAUACCAGCGAACACAUCAGGUGACCUGUCCUCCCGCCACUCACAUUCCAGUGAGACGUGCCGUAAACAAGAAAACUGCUGAUGGCGAUGAGUGCCCUGUAAACUAAACAGGGUGAUGUGACAUCGACUGCUGGUGGCAUCGGAGCUGAGACCUAGAGGGACGAAAAGGAGUCGGGCAGGUCAAGGGCUACCGCUGCUCUGGAAGUCAGGAAGUCAGGCUCAGUGAGGGACACAGCCCAGAUUUCUCUUUUCAGGGGCAGUUGCAGACCCCGACGCUGUCUUCUCCUUGCCUGGAAAGAACCGUGAGGACUUGGAGGGCCAUUCUGAGGGGGCUGGCAGUGGACAGUCCACCAAACCAUCCAAUACAGGUUUACCCUGCAACUUGGGCUUUCAGAAACCAGUAGUGAGUGAGUAGGGCUUUUGUUAGACCCCUUCCUCCAUGCCAUGCCUCGCUUAGCUGUAGCCCUUGGGCUAUGAAGAUUUCACCUCUGAAGAAAGGAUCUUCUUCCCACCAGGUAUAAGGGUAAGGGAGUACAGAUGCCCUCUAGCCCCUGUGGCUUCCUCGACCUCUGCCCUUCUGCAUCCCAGACCCACGUGGGUGACACUCGGGUCUGAGAUGGUUUCUAGCUGCCACUUUGGGGCCAGGCCAAUGAGGCUGCUCACUACCAGGGGAUUCUCUGCUCACAGGGGACUCUCUCUGGGGCUUGGCAAAGACAUAGUACUGGCCUCGGAAUACACUUCUGGGGGGUCGGGAGGUCAGUCUCACGGAAAGUAGCAUCACGUGGGCAGCCAGUGCCCGUGUGCCAAACAUCAGACUCCCAAAGUGUCUGCACACACGACAGGCCUUCAUUUCCACCGUGGAGGAGGCUCCCCAGACGGUGACCUCAUCCUGGCUCUCGGGAGUCCUCAUGGCCACAACCCAUGGAUACAAAUGACAACAUACCUGUCAGGCUUGGGCCAGAUGGUCCAGCUGCACCAGAUGUUUAGUGGCUGGCUGGACAGAUUCUGUGACAAUGAAAACCCCCCAAAUGGGUCCCUCAAAACCACAUGGCACCUUUGGAUUGAAACAUAUACUACCCUGAUGCUUUGCCUUACCUCUGUGGAAAAAGGAAUGAGGGGAAAGGGAGUAGGAAGGAUGAAGAAGGAAACAGGUUGUGGAAGACCCAGCUAAUAAAUCAGAAGAACACUAUAGAUACAACCCUACUCCUCCCCAACUAAGACAGAAGGCUCACCUUGGGCUGUGCUUAAGGGACAAAGCUACUGACUUCCCAGAAAGCACUCAGCUCAUGGGUCACCACCUCCAGAAACUUCCCGCCUACUUCCCCAGAACUCCUCCUUGGGAGGAGUUGGCCACAGUGCCCUGAGAGUCCUUGCACCCUGACAGUAGUCACACAGAGCAUUUGUCACGGGGCAUCUGGCCAGCAGCAGUUUGUCCCCAACCACUGUGAGCCACCAAUCCUAGAAGCUGGCCGCCUCCCAGUGGCUACUGCCCAACAGCACACUCAAGUGCCUGCUGGAUGCAGUGUGGCGUUGCCGUGUCCACAGACUCGGCUCCUGAACAGAGAGGCAGACAUCACAGGGGCUGAGGGUACACUUGUUUCCCACCCUGACCCAGACCUGGGAAAGCGAUGAGGGAAGCAAACUGUCCAAUCCGCAGUUUAUCAGCAAGUAAGGCAAUGGUGACACUUGGAAUAUCCCCCUGAGAGGUCUCUUAAGAGGGCCUUCAUGGGCCUUCUACCACCCGCGGCAGGUGCUCACAGCUGGGUUGCAUGUGAGUCACCUACCAUUUGCCUCUUCCUUCCGGCUGCCCUGAAGUCUCUCGCCAUGGCCUCGGUUCUCAGAAGCCAUGGCUACUAACUUGGGCAGCGAGCAGCUUUGAGAGAAUAGGCAAAGCCCAACAUCUAGGCCCUGUGAGAGCCCCUCUCUGCCCUGCAGUGAACCAGGUCUAAGCGCUCCAGGAAGGGAUUCCCAGGCAGCCAGGUAGCACUGAUGUGGAACACCCUGAAGAAAGCUGCCUACAGCCUUAGCUCCCUAAAGAGACUGGGAGUUUUAUCCAAUUCUGCAAAGUUAGAACUGCCACGUUUAAGCAGACAUGGCAAGAAAAUACCAUGACAAAAUACCUGUGUCUGGCACUCCAGGUGACCGGGAGCUCUCCAGGACGCUCCCCUUACAGAAUCAUAUCAUGAAUUUCGUGCAUACACACAAUUUUUCAUUUGCAAGGAGGAGGGCUCUAUGUACUCCUUCCCUGCCUUACUCUCCAGAGAAAACCAGGAGGGAGUUAGAACAGCGAGAACUUGCUAGAGACAUGUUGACCUGAGGGUGGUUAGGGACACUAAGGCCCAGGGCUGGCAGCAUGAUGAGGUCAGGAGUCUGGGACUGGUGCCCUGAGGAGAGUCCUGGAGGAGCUGGUAUGCUUCCAGAUUGCUGCAUGUCAGCCUACAAACAAAAGCGCAUCCUCUUUGAAAGUAAGCAUUCCAGUUUAGGCCUCGAGCAGGGGUCCAUAAACUAUAGCCCACAGGACAAGUCCGGCAGCUGCCUGCUUUUGUAAAUAAAGUUCUACUUGACAACAGCCAGGUCCAUUCAUUUAUAUGAAUGUUGGAAGUAUUCUAUAACCUGUCCCGCCCUGGGAAUAACUCAGAAGCAAAAGCAGUAGCUACUCGAUACAUGUGGCCACUGUGAACAUGAAAUGUGGCUUAUGUGACCAAAGAACUGAACUUUCAACUUUAAGUUUAAUUAAUUUUAAUAUAAAUAGCCACAUGUGGCUAUUAGCUAUCAUUAGUGCAGCAUAGAUUAAGAUCAAGCCCUUUUAGCAAGAUGACAAGAACCAAUUCACACUCGAAGAUUUCUUGGAAUUAUCAGAUAAAGAUAAUUAUAUGAAACAAUGUUUAAAGAAAUAAAGGACAUAAUCAUGGGGCGCCUGAGUGGCUCAGUAGGUGAAGCAUCUGACUCUUGAUUACACUUGGGUCAUGA